rnacentral:rRNA from 1 species
ACGAAGGGGGCGAGCGUUGUUCGGAAUCACUGGGCGUAAAGGGCGCGUAGGCGGCCUUCUUAGUCGCGUGUGAAAGCCCCGGGCUCAACCUGGGAGGUGCGCGCGAAACGGGGGGGCUGGAGUUCGGGAGAGGAGAGCGGAAUUCCCAGUGUAGAGGUGAAAUUCGUAGAUAUUGGGAAGAACACCGGUGGCGAAGGCGGCUCUCUGGACCGAGACUGACGCUGAGGCGCGAAAGCUAGGGGAGCAAACAGGA